rnacentral:misc_RNA from 1 species
CUACUACUCGGCCUCACUGCCUACUUUAUACCACAGACACAGUACAAACACACAGGACCUGCCCGACACACAUUGAUAUUUGCCCUAUAUUUAUGUUAGAUUGCCCAUAGGACUGAGUGUUCUUUAUGAUUUGGAUGAAAUGCCCAAAGAUCUCACUGUUUAUACAGUCCAGUAGGAAGGAUGAACUAAUGUCCUUUGUUUUAUUGUUAAUUUUUUUUCCUUCAGUUGCUGUCUUAGCAAAUGGUGCUUUUUAUAAGGAUGAAAUUUUAUAUCUUUGUUAAAUCUUAAGCAUGAAUUACCUCAGAAAUCUCGAAAGAAAAUUUUGAGAUUGGCAUAAUAAGGAAAAAAACUGGGUCAAGACGACCCAGUUGACUAGUAUGUGAUGCUGAUCCAUUUUUAAGGAUCCGAUCAUAUCUGUCACUUGAAAAAGUUGUUGCCCCUUUAUAAGGUUGUUGCACACCUGAGCCCCCAAGAUGAGUAUAAAUUGGUCCCGCGGGGAGGGGGGUCCCUUAAAUCGGUGAACACUUCCCCAUUGAUAGGGUCCCCAGUAACAUAACACAGGCUGUGGGGAGAGAGAGCCUCCCCCAUACACACCAACAGAAUCACACAGACGACACUCACACCGUCAAACGUCAACGUCAAAUGUGUGACCAGUCAAUACGACAAAUAAAUCAUUAAAUCUA